rnacentral:rRNA from 1 species
GAACUUUCCAGAGAUGGAUUGGUGCCUUCGGGAACUGUGAGACAGGUGCUGCAUGGCUGUCGUCAGCUCGUGUUGUGAAAUGUUGGGUUAAGUCCCGCAACGAGCGCAACCCUUAUCCUUUGUUGCCAGCGAUUAGGUCGGGAACUCAAAGGAGACUGCCAGUGAUAAACUGGAGGAAGGUGGGGAUGACGUCAAGUCAUCAUGGCCCUUACGACCAGGGCUACACACGUGCUACAAUGGCGCAUACAAAGAGAAGCGACCUCGCGAGAGCAAGCGGACCUCAUAAAGUGCGUCGUAGUCCGGAUUGGAGUCUGCAACUCGACUCCAUGAAGUCGGAAUCGCUAGUAAUCGUGGAUCAGAAUGCCACGGUGAAUACGUUCCCGGGCCUUGUACACACCGCCCGUCACACCAUGGGAGUGGGUUGCAAAAGAAGUAGGUAGCUUAACCUUCGGGAGGGCGCUUACCACUUUGUGAUUCAUGACUGGGGUGAAGUCGUAACAAGGUAACCGUAGGGGAACCUGCGGUUGGAUCACCUCCUUA